UCGGGGUUCAAAAAAAUAAAACACCAGAGUCAUUAAUCCGAAAACAAUAGUUUUAUUUAAGAACUUUUCACUUUCUCAUAAAAUAUACACAUUGUUUUUGUCAUUAAACUAAACUGUAAGUAAAUACUAAUUUUAAAUACCAAUCACGUUUCUCGGAUUAUCUGGGUGGCUAUUGCGUUCCGUCUAUAGUAAACGUGCUCUCGCUUCAUGUACAAAUCCGUAACUUAAUUCUAUUUAGAAAAAGAAAAAAAAAAUGAAAGCAUGAUUUUUUGUACAUUUCAAAAUAAUAAAAAUAAACACAAGUCCUCCUGUUUGUUUAAUUAAUCAAAGUGUGAUGAUAGGUCUACAGUCCAUUGUCGAUACUUAAAAAUAACAGUUUUGUAUGCAUAUGUGCAGCUCGGGCGAGCGGGGUCAAAUGCGAACAAAUGCUGAACACACGAUCGGGGCGAUGGAUCCAACAUUCAAAUUACAAACUUGUAUCAUCAGGCCUAGCUCAGUAGCAACCCCAUUAUUCAGUUCCCAAUUUCAUUUUAUUGGCUUUCAACUUUCAAUAUAGUGUUUUUAAAAUGGAUCUGAAAGUCGUAAAUACUUUAAUAUCACAUGGGACUUUACAAAGAAAUUUUGGCUUCAUAGAGCAUUAUCUCUGUCACUCAUACCUAUGUGACGUUAUACCUGUCUCAACAAAAGAAACAGCAAUCUACGAAACUAUUAUCUUUCUAAUCUUCGAUGUGCAAUCUUUUCAGCAGGGUACUGUAACAGCUACAGCAAAUUUAUUGAAUUGCUGAUGCUGCAAAAUAUAGUGCUAGCUUUUAGUUUUCAAGAAAAUAGCCCUCACUUGCACAUAAUAUAGGAGACCCCAAAAGCCCAACUAACUGAUAUAUCAAAGUACAGGUUAAACUGCAUGGUCUUAAAAACUGAGAUUUUGCAUGUAUGGGGUUUCUCUAUAGUGUGGACCCACACUAAGAAAGGAUUUUUCGGAAAUUCCACCCAUAAAGCUGAAUCAGCUAGUUAACUAUAUUAUACUUUCUACUUAGCACUAGAUUUUCCAAACUUAAUUAUUUUAAUAUUUUUACUCAGAAUAAUUGGGUUCCUACUGUAUUAUGGAUAAGAUUGUAGUAUAUGUAACAGGACAAAUCAUUGUAUAAUAAGAGCCUUAUGGCAUAACUAAGUAUAACUACAGUCAAUUCAUAAUAUGUUUGUUAGUCUGUUCCAUAUACUACUACCUUCUUCAAUUCAGUCAUAUAUUUUCUCUAUGAAGUCACAACUAAAAGCAUAAUUAUUUACAUCUCAUGUUACAUGAUUGAAGAUUUAGUGCAAAACUUUCUAUGCCAAAAAAUUUGUCUACGCCUUUAUUUAUUAGAAAAGACAAACAAAAAUCAAUAAAGCAUUGGCUGCGUAGCAUAGACCUAUAAUUACAGAGAAACUUCAUUUACAAAAAAAAUACUUAUAUAUAUAAAACUUUAUUUUUUGUAAACUAAUGAAGAACACGAAAGUUUUGCAAAACCCGCUGGGGAUACAAUAUUCAACUCCAAACUGCAGACUAAGGAAAUAUCGUGGCCAAUUCUGUAGUACACAAUCUAAACUAAAUUAAAUUGACAGGUUUAAACCUAGUGCUGUUCUUUACCACAGGGAAUAUUAUGAAAAUUAUAGCACACAAUUUAGACGAUUUAUCUAAAUUGAGUUUCAGAAAGCCCCUAGCCGCUAGGGGCUCUCCAACGGCCAAAAUUAAUGCUCAAUCUAUCUUUAACUUGUCGAUAAGUUACUUAGCAACGCUGUUAUUUGUCAGACUUUUGAUGAAUAACAACAUUGCUUAGUAACUUAUCGACAGUUUACAGAUAGAUUGAUUAUUAUUAAUUUCGGCCGUAAAACAUUAUCUACGCUACCGACAGCGUGCUGUGACGUCACGAAAUAAGACCGACACGCUGUUUGAUCGCGGAUUCACUGAUUCUAAAUUCAGGACCCAUGCUUGCCAUAUUAGCUUGUGUUUUAUGUCAUUAAAAGAGAAAUAUGACAAAGUUUUUGCGUUCUUGCAAGCAUUUAGACUUUAAUGAAAUUAGAUUUUAUAAACAUAGGUUAUUGACAGUGUUUACAGAGUUUUUCGUAUAAUACGGUACUAAAUCGAUCAAUAUUCGUGUUUCUUUGGCAAAUUUCUUCAUUGAAACUCGCACGCCGCGGUAUCCAUCGGCCGCUAUGGUAAAAUUUAAUACUGACGGUUGUGUGGCGUAUAACCUUGGGCCGUCGCGGAUGGCGUGCCAGCAAAACCGAGCUCAAGCAUUUACGAACAUAGCACUCGGCUGUCAUCGGUCGCUAAAGCGGUCUCUUAGGUCGAAAUCUAUAGAACGCACUUUGACUUUGCUUAUGCUCAAAUUUCAGUUAAAAUGAGACAGAUUCAUGCCAGCGGUAUAAUGCUGUCUCGUUCUAACAGCGUCUUAAGUCUGAGCAAAGUCAAAGUGCGCUCUAUAGAUCUCACCCUUAGUGAUUGUGUACAACAGAACUAGGCAUAUUAUAGGCAUCAAUUUUUUUUAAACAAUUUGUACAACAAUUUCCUGAAUACUGAAAAGCAUUUCAAAACUUAAUUUAAGAAGGUCUUACGUUUUAUUUGAUUUCAAUUGAAAACAUAAAAAAUGUUUAUUUUUGGCAUUUCAUCCAUACAGAUACUGUAAAAAACAACCACAUAAUUGCUCUUCUGCAGUAAUAGUUUUUCAGUAUUCGGCCAUUUUCAGCCUAAUAAAUUUUUCGUGUACUUAAACAAAAAAAAAAAA